rnacentral:rRNA from 1 species
GAAACAUCUUAGUACCCGGAGGAAGAGAAAGAAAAUUCGAUUCCCUUAGUAGCGGCGAGCGAAACGGGAAGAGCCCAAACCAACAAGCUUGCUUGUUGGGGUUGUAGGACACUCUAUACGGAGUUACAAAGGACGACAUUAGACGAAUCAUCUGGAAAGAUGAAUCAAAGAAGGUAAUAAUCCUGUAGUCGAAAAUGUUGUCUCUCUUGAGUGGAUCCUGAGUACGACGGAGCACGUGAAAUUCCGUCGGAAUCUGGGAGGACCAUCUCCUAAGGCUAAAUACUCUCUAGUGACCGAUAGUGAACCAGUACCGUGAGGGAAAGGUGAAAAGCACCCCGGAAGGGGAGUGAAAUAGAACCUGAAACCGUGUGCUUACAAGUAGUCAGAGCCCGUUAAUGGGUGAUGGCGUGCCUUUUGUAGAAUGAACCGGCGAGUUACGAUUUGAUGCAAGGUUAAGCAGUAAAUGUGGAGCCGUAGCGAAAGCGAGUCUGAAUAGGGCGUUUAGUAUUUGGUCGUAGACCCGAAACCAGGUGAUCUACCCUUGGUCAGGUUGAAGUUCAGGUAACACUGAAUGGAGGACCGAACCGACUUACGUUGAAAAGUGAGCGGAUGAACUGAGGGUAGCGGAGAAAUUCCAAUCGAACCUGGAGAUAGCUGGUUCUCUCCGAAAUAGCUUUAGGGCUAGCCUCAAGUGAUGAUUAUUGGAGGUAGAGCACUGUUUGGACGAGGGGCCCCUCUCGGGUUACCGAAUUCAGACAAACUCCGAAUGCCAAUUAAUUUAACUUGGGAGUCAGAACAUGGGUGAUAAGGUCCGUGUUCGAAAGGGAAACAGCCCAGACCACCAGCUAAGGUCCCAAAAUAUA